rnacentral:rRNA from 1 species
AUACGUAGGGGGCGAGCGUUGUCCGGAAUGAUUGGGCGUAAAGGGCGCGUAGGCGGCCCGGUAAGUCUGGAGUGAAAGUCCUGUUUUUAAGAUGGGAAUUGCUUUGGAUACUGUCGGGCUUGAGUGCAGGAGAGGUAAGUGGAAUUACCAGUGUAGCGGUGAAAUGCGUAGAGAUUGGGAGGAACACCAGUGGCGAAGGCGACUUACUGGACUGUAACUGACGCUGAGGCGCGAAAGUGUGGGGAGCAAACAGGAUUAGAUACCCUGGUAGUCCACACUGUAAACGAUGAAUGCUAGGUGUAGGGGGUAUCGACCCCUUCUGUGCCGCAGUCAACACAAUAAGCAUUCCGCCUGGGGAGUACGGCCGCAAGGUUGAAACUCAAAGGAAUUGGCGGGG